rnacentral:rRNA from 1 species
AACCAGCUCUUCAAGUGGUCGGGAUAAUUAUUGGGCUUAAAGUGUCCGUAGCCGGUUUAGUAAGUUCCUGGUAAAAUCGGGUAGCUUAACUAUCUGUAUGCUAGGAAUACUACUAUACUAGAGGGCGGGAGAGGUCUGAGGUACUACAGGGGUAGGGGUGAAAUCUUAUAAUCCUUGUAGGACCACCAGUGGCGAAGGCGUCAGACUGGAACGCGCCUGACGGUGAGGGACGAAAGCCAGGGGAGCGAACCGGAUUAGAUACCCGGGUAGUCCUGGCCGUAAACGAUGCAUACUAGGUGAUGGUACGGCCAUGAGCCGUAUCAGUGCCGUAGGGAAACCGUUAAGUGUGCCGCCUGGGAAGUACGGUCGCAAGGCUAAAAACUUAAAGGAAUUGGCGGGGGAGCACCACAAGGGGUGAAGCCUGCGGUUC